CAAACCUACACACGUAAAAAUCUCACAACUUGUCAACAAGAUGUGUUCGCAACAGGCUUGUAGCAAGCUUGUCAACAAGUUGUAACAAUAUUGUUGUUUUAUCAAGUUGCUACAAGGUUGUCACUCACAACUUGUUGACAAAUUGUUGAAUUGCAGGACGAUAACAAGUUGUUGGAACAACUUGUAACAAGUCUAUUGAGCUCAAUAACCUUGUAGCAGGUUGUCAACAAGCCGUUGACAAUUUGUCAACAAGCUGGGAACAAGCGGUGCGAACACAUCCUGUUGACAAGUUGUUGGAACAGCAUUGCUACAAGUCUGCUGCAGGUUUGUUACAACUUGUGCAUUUUUAC